GGGGCACGGGGGGCCUACGGGAGGCAGCAGUGGGGAAUUUUGCGCAAUGGGCGGAAAGCCUGACGCAGUAACGCCGCGUGGAGGGAUGAAGGCCUUCGGGUUGUAAACUCCUGUCAGGAGGAACGACGGCAGGGAGCUGAAUAAUCUCCUUUGUCAGACGGUACCUCCAAAGGAAGCCCCGGCUAUUCCGUGCC
rnacentral:rRNA from 1 species